GCACUGCUGAGGAGUCCCAUAAUAGGAUGAUACGGCCGUCCAGUGC
rfam:Schistosoma haematobium scaffold758_42, whole genome shotgun sequence.